AUUUUACUCAGGAGAGAUUAAAUGUAAUGGCGUUAAGUGGACGUGUUUUCCGUCGCGAGGUUGAUAACUAGUUUCCGUGCAGUCGAGUGCAGUUGUGUCGAAAUUCGAGAAACGUGUCGCGAACGCACAAAACUCUGCUCCAAGUAGUGCUCUAAAACGUUUCUAUAGCCACAUUGGCAAAAAAUUGGAAAAUCUGACAAUUGGAGGUUUUCAAUUCAGAGAGGCGAGUUCAGAAGCGAGCAGCUCGGGCAAUCAUGGCGGAAGAAGAUUGGGACGACGUAGAGGCCAUGUUGGAGGCGCCGUACAGAAAAGACACUGAUGGCGAUAAAUCAUCCCCAGGACAACAUAAUCACGAGUCGAGAUCUAAGGAGAAUGGGCGAAAGCAAUAUUCAAGAAGUCGAUCGAAAGAGCGAUCCGCAUCCAGAGAUCGUGGGAAGGAAAAUGAUUAUUAUCGCAACGAUCGUGCAAAAGCACAUGGACCAUCUAGGGAUCGUGAUCGUGAACGAGUCGAGCGCGAACAAGGACGAUAUCGCGAAAAAGAUCCUCGAAAAUCGAGAGAUGGUGACCGUGGUGAUCGCGCUGAUCGUGGCGAGCGUGAACAUGAUCGGGAGCGUGAGCGAGAUCGCGAACGUGAUCGACGUCGAAGCAAGUCGCGUGAUCGAAGACGUAGUCGGUCGCGAGACAAACGACGCAGUCGGUCACGAGACAAGCGUCGCAGUCGUUCACGAGACAGACGUAGAAGUCCGCCGCGUGACAGGAGGCGCAGCCGAUCGAAGGAGCGUCGAGAGAGGUCGGUAGAACGGAAACGAGAGAAGGUUCGCGAGCCUAAACGCAGCCGAUCUAGAGAUAGAAGACGUCGCAGCCCUUCGCCGCGCCCAUUCAGACGGGGCCGAACACCACCAAAUGGUUUGGGAGAUCGAUCUCCACCAGAAGACUUAAGCCCGGAGGAGCGUGACGCUCGAACGGUAUUCUGUAUGCAGCUUUCACAAAGGAUACGGGCUAGAGAUCUUGAAGAGUUCUUCUCUAGUGUGGGCAAGGUGCGGGAUGUUAGGCUCAUCACUUGUAACAAGACAAAACGAUUCAAGGGAAUCGCAUAUAUUGAAUUCAAAGACCCCGAAUCGGUAGCAUUAGCUUUAGGACUGUCCGGUCAAAGACUUCUGGGAAUUCCAAUUUCAGUCCAGCAUACACAGGCAGAGAAAAAUCGAAUGGCCAAUAGCGUCCCCACAUUCACACCAAAAAAUCACACUGGCCCUAUGCGUUUGUACGUUGGCUCAUUGCAUUUUAAUAUUACUGAAGAUAUGCUACGUGGAAUAUUUGAGCCUUUCGGAAAGAUAGACAACAUCCAGUUGAUUAUGGACCAGGAAACAGGACGAUCGAAAGGCUAUGGGUUUAUAACGUACCACAAUGCAGAUGAUGCGAAAAAAGCGCUUGAACAGCUCAAUGGCUUCGAACUCGCUGGCCGUCCAAUGAAAGUAGGCAACGUGACGGAGCGGCUUGAUAUGAAUACGACGUCGUUGGAUACAGACGAAAUGGAUCGUAGUGGAAUUGAUCUAGGAGCGACGGGACGACUGCAGUUGAUGUUUAAACUUGCUGAAGGUGCUGGGUUGGCUGUGCCGCAAGCAGCGGCCAAUGCUCUCCUCGCAACUGCACCUCAACCUGCUCCAGUUCAACAACCACAGCCAGCUCCAACUAUUGCCACACAAUGUUUCAUGCUCUCAAAUAUGUUCGACCCUGCAACCGAGUCCAAUCCCAACUGGGACACUGAAAUCGAAGAUGAUGUGAUUGAUGAAUGUAAAAAGCACGGGGGCAUUCUCCACGUGUAUGUAGACAAAGAAUCACAAGGAAAUGUGUAUGUGAAAUGUCCUAGUAUUGCGACGGCCGUUCUGGCAGUGAAUGCUCUGCAUGGACGAUGGUUCGCUGGUCGAGUCAUCACAGCUGCUUAUGUUCCGUUGGUCAAUUAUCAUACACUGUUCCCCGAUGCAGCGACAGCUACCAGUUUGUUAAAUACAACGAGGAAAUAGUUAUAUUCUGGGAAGUAGAGGUGGAGGGGAAUCGUCGAUUUCGCGGUGACUUCAUUUCAUCUUUUUUUAAAAAACUGUGGUUCUAAAUUGUGCAUCACGCGAGGACUAAAAUAAUGAAUACACAUAUGAUGUAUAACUCACACACGGACUGAUUACUCUCACUGCGUUCUCAAGCACUGGAAGAUUCCUAUAAAAUUUUAAGGCUGUCGUGAAUCAUAGUUCAUCAAUAGUUGUCGUUCAAUACAUGUUUUAGGGGAAACGCAGAUAAAUCCAUGGAAAAACAAUAGAGCAUUCGCGCCAUCGAAGCAAUUCAGUUCAGUGAGUGUAACUUAUGAAGGAACUCUUUGAGUUUAGCCCCAACAUUUAUGUAAACAUUCAAACAGAAUUAAUAUAUAUACAUACAUAUAUUGUAGAAUGGAUAUAGCCGUUUUUUAAAAAUUAAUCUAAUUAGACUUAAGCUAUUGUGUAUAACUUUUUUCACAUCAUUUCUUUCAGUUUAUACGGAAUUGUUAGUUUACAAAAUCUAUUCAUUUUUCGUCUAACAAAAAAUUGAGUUUUUAAAAUCGGG
rnacentral:misc_RNA from 1 species